AUUGAACGCUGGCGGCAGGCCUAACACAUGCAAGUCGAGCGGAGCGGCGGACGGGGGAGUAAUGCCUAGGAAUCUGCCCGGUAGUGGGGGAUAAAGUCCGGAAACGGGCGCUAAUACCGCAUACUAGCAGAUGAGACUAGGUCGGAUUAGAUAUUUGGUGGGGUAAAGGCCUACCAAGGCGACGAUCCGUACCUGGUCUGAGAGGCUGAUCAGUCACACUUGAACUGAGACACGGUCCAGACUCCUACGGGAGGCAGCAGUGGGGAAUAUUGGACAAUGGGCGAAAGCCUGAUCCAGCCAGGCCGCGUGUGUGAAGAAGGUCUUCGGAUUGUAAAGCACUUUAAGUUGGGAGGCGUUACCAACAGAAUAAGCACCGGCUAACUUCGUGCCAGCAGCCGCGGUAAUAC
rnacentral:rRNA from 1 species